rnacentral:lncRNA from 1 species
AAAAGGCCAAGGGGACAAAAGCCAGGUUCGGCCGCCGAAAGUGAAGUUCGGCAGCCGAAAGUUGCAUGGUUUCGCAUGCACGUUAGGCCGCCGAAGGAAGAGUCGGUUGGUCACUACAAAAGCACCUUUGCCCGAGACUUGAGGGUUAAACACUCUGUUUUUGGGUCAAAGGUGGGUUCAAGCUCUCCUUGGUGUGAUUUUUCAUGUUUUCCUCAAAUCUUGCAUGUUUUAACUUGAUUUGAGCUUUGUUUUAGAGUUUUGAGCAAAAGGAAGCAAAGUGAGCAUUUGGAGACUUUGAUUGAGUUUUUCACCCAUCUCCAAGCUUGGAUCAUCAAUCCUCUAGUUCUUCAAGAGGUAAGCAUGGAUCCUCACCUCCCCUUAUGUUUAAAGUAUGUUUUAAGAGUUUUUAGAGAGUUUUAUAGCAUGGUUUGGGUGUAACCAUGAGUUUGAGCAUAUGUUGCUCAUAUGAGCUUUGAUGAGUUUUGAGGUUGUUUAUGGGGUUUGAGUUAGUUUAUCAGCCCCUAUAUGCAUGAGAUAUGUUAUAUGCUAGUUGAGAAGUGAUGGUAUGCAUGUUAUGGGUG